AACGUAGGUCACAAGCGUUGUCCGGAAUUACUGGGUGUAAAGGGAGCGCAGGCGGGAAGACAAGUUGGAAGUGAAAUCUAUGGGCUCAACCCAUAAACUGCUUUCAAAACUGUUUUUCUUGAGUAGUGCAGAGGUAGGCGGAAUUCCCGGUGUAGCGGUGGAAUGCGUAGAUAUCGGGAGGAACACCAGUGGCGAAGGCGGCCUACUGGGCACCAACUGACGCUGAGGCUCGAAAGUGUGGGUAGCAAACA
rnacentral:rRNA from 1 species